UGGUAGUCUCGUUCAACCAGACCCUCGGCUGUCUCCGUAAAUCUCCGACCACCCAGAGGGUCUGGUAAAGAAUCAUGUUAGCGUUUGUAACCGUCAGAGGGCGCUAUCUUGUUUUCAUUUUGACGAUCCUUUUUGAAAACAAACGUUAAAUGUGUUUCUUCUUCUGGAUUGUGUCUUUAUAUAAAUAAAUUAAUCUUUAAUUUGGGACACCAAACGAGAAAUUGCUAUAUCAAUCGAAGGAAUGUGUAUUACGCAGGUAGGGCUACACUACUUUCACUUUUGCUUUCGUACCGAAUAUUUGCAAGAUACACACUUAUACACUUACCUAUAACUGGUGGGCAUUACUGUAAACAAUUCCUAUCUAACAGCUUUAACUUUCAGACAUAUAACUUUUACAUCUUUAAGUUAUUUUUCUGCUGAUCUAUCAUGUAUUUAUUUAAAUCGUGUAGGUGUGUUCUUUUCAGCCAAUCAAAAACUUUACCAGAAUUUCAGUAAGCCUCGUUUUGGCGUUACAAACGAUAUUGCGUAUCUUUACCAGACCCUCUGGUUGGUCGGAGAUUUACGGAGACAGCCGAGGGUCUGGUUGAACGAGACUAAUGAUAUGGAGGAAAAAUAUACAUAAAAAAGUGAAUGUAGGUGAAAGCCUGUCCACUUUUCUGAAGAGAUUAGAGAGAAGAAAACUGUGUGACGUUAAAAGAAACCAGUGAGAUAAAAUCAUAGAAAAUGUAUGAUGAUUCAGGAUGUGGUCAUUUGUGACAUUAAAACAGGAAUUGUCAUCACCAAUAGACGAAUUUCACAUUCCUAAGAGUUUUUUCCAAUUGUCGGCGUAUUGCUCAUUUUUCCCACUUUGUCCUUUGUCCUGUUCUGUGGAUGCCCUCAGACAGUGUCUACCCAUCACUCCAUGUGACCUUGGACUAAUUUUCUAGGUCAAAGAUCAUAUGUGAUGUGAAGAAAACCAGGAAACUGAUGUUGAAAGAAGUACUUAAUGACCCUUAUGAAUGGACUUGAAUGUGAAAGACUGUCUAUUGUUUA